rfam:Schistosoma rodhaini strain Burundi genome assembly, scaffold: SROB_scaffold0005359
AAACCAUGAGGAGUCCCAUAAUAGGACGAAACGGCCGUCCAGUGU